AACGAACGCUGGCGGCAUGCCUAACACAUGCAAGUCGAACGAGACCUUCGGGUCUAGUGGCGCACGGGUGCGUAACGCGUGGGAACCUGCCCUUAGGUUCGGAAUAACUCCCCGAAAGGGGUGCUAAUACCGGAUAAUGUCUUCGGACCAAAGAUUUAUCGCCUUUGGAUGGGCCCGCGUUGGAUUAGCUAGUUGGUAGGGUAAAAGCCUACCAAGGCGACGAUCCAUAGCUGGUCUGAGAGGAUGAUCAGCCACACUGGGACUGAGACACGGCCCAGACCCCUCCGGAAGGAAGAAGUGGGGAAUAUGGAAAAAGGGGCGAAAGCCGAAUCCAGCAAGGCCGCGUGAGUGAUGAAGGCCUUAGGGUUGUAAAGCUCUUUACCCGGGAUGAUAAUGACAGUACCGGGAGAAUAAGCUCCGGCUAACUCCGUG
rnacentral:rRNA from 1 species